GAACGCUGGCGGCGCGCCUAACACCUGCCAGUCGAACGAGCGAGAGAGAGCUUGCUUUCUCGAGCGAGUGGCGAACGGGUGAGUAACGCGUGAGGAACCUGCCUCAAAGAGGGGGACAACAGUUGGAAACGACUGCUAAUACCGCAUAAGCCCACGGCUCGGCAUCGAGCAGGGGGAAAAGGAGCAAUCCGCUUUGAGAUGGCCUCGCGUCCGAUUAGCUAGUUGGUGAGGUAACGGCCCACCAAGGCGACGAUCGGUAGCCGGACUGAGAGGUUGAACGGCCACAUUGGGACUGAGACACGGCCCAGACUCCUACGGGAGGCAGCAGUGGGGAAUAUUGCACAAUGGGGGAAACCCUGAUGCAGCGACGCCGCGUGGAGGAAGAAGGUCUUCGGAUUGUAAACUCCUGUUGUUGGGGAAGAUAAUGACGGUACCCAACAAGGAAGAGACGGCUAACUACGUG
rnacentral:rRNA from 1 species